rnacentral:rRNA from 1 species
AAAUUGAAGAGUUUGAUCAUGGCUCAGAUUGAACGCUGGCGGCAGGCCUAACACAUGCAAGUCGAACGGUAACAGGAAUCAGCUUGCUGAUUCGCUGACGAGUGGCGGACGGGUGAGUAAUGUCUGGGAAACUGCCUGAUGGAGGGGGAUAACUACUGGAAACGGUAGCUAAUACCGCAUAAUGUCGCAAGACCAAAGAGGGGGACCUUAGGGCCUCUUGCCAUCGGAUGUGCCCAGAUGGGAUUAGCUGGUAGGUGGGGUAACGGCUCACCUAGGCGACGAUCCCUAGCUGGUCUGAGAGGAUGACCAGCCACACUGGAACUGAGACACGGUCCAGACUCCUACGGGAGGCAGCAGUGGGGAAUAUUGCACAAUGGGCGCAAGCCUGAUGCAGCCAUGCCGCGUGUAUGAAGAAGGCCUUCGGGUUGUAAAGUACUUUCAGCGGGGAGGAAGGGAGUAAAGUUAAUACCUUUGCUCAUUGACGUUACCCGCAGAAGAAGCACCGGCUAACUCCGUGCCAGCAGCCGCGGUAAUACGGAGGGUGCAAGCGUUAAUCGGAAUUACUGGGCGUAAAGCGCACGCAGGCGGUUUGUUAAGUCAGAUGUGAAAUCCCCGGGCUCAACCUGGGAACUGCAUCUGAUACUGGCAAGCUUGAGUCUCGUAGAGGGGGGUAGAAUUCCAGGUGUAGCGGUGAAAUGCGUAGAGAUCUGGAGGAAUACCGGUGGCGAAGGCGGCCCCCUGGACGAAGACUGACGCUCAGGUGCGAAAGCGUGGGGAGCAAACAGGAUUAGAUACCCUGGUAGUCCACGCCGUAAACGAUGUCGACUUGGAGGUUGUGCCCUUGAGGCGUGGCUUCCGGAGCUAACGCGUUAAGUCGACCGCCUGGGGAGUACGGCCGCAAGGUUAAAACUCAAAUGAAUUGACGGGGGCCCGCACAAGCGGUGGAGCAUGUGGUUUAAUUCGAUGCAACGCGAAGAACCUUACCUGGUCUUGACAUCCACGGAAGUUUUCAGAGAUGAGAAUGUGCCUUCGGGAACCGUGAGACAGGUGCUGCAUGGCUGUCGUCAGCUCGUGUUGUGAAAUGUUGGGUUAAGUCCCGCAACGAGCGCAACCCUUAUCCUUUGUUGCCAGCGGUCCGGCCGGGAACUCAAAGGAGACUGCCAGUGAUAAACUGGAGGAAGGUGGGGAUGACGUCAAGUCAUCAUGGCCCUUACGACCAGGGCUACACACGUGCUACAAUGGCGCAUACAAAGAGAAGCGACCUCGCGAGAGCAAGCGGACCUCAUAAAGUGCGUCGUAGUCCGGAUUGGAGUCUGCAACUCGACUCCAUGAAGUCGGAAUCGCUAGUAAUCGUGGAUCAGAAUGCCACGGUGAAUACGUUCCCGGGCCUUGUACACACCGCCCGUCACACCAUGGGAGUGGGUUGCAAAAGAAGUAGGUAGCUUAACCUUCGGGAGGGCGCUUACCACUUUGUGAUUCAUGACUGGGGUGAAGUCGUAACAAGGUAACCGUAGGGGAACCUGCGGUUGGAUCACCUCCUUACCUUAAAGAAGC